UACGGAGGGUGCAAGCGUUAUCCGGAUUCACUGGGUUUAAAGGGUGCGUAGGCGGAUAGGUAAGUCCGUGGUGAAAUCCUGCAGCUUAACUGCAGAACUGCCGUGGAUACUCUCUAUCUUGAAUAUCGUGGAGGUUAGCGGAAUAUGUCAUGUAGCGGUGAAAUGCUUAGAUAUGACAUAGAACACCCAUUGCGAAGGCAGCUAACUACGCGAUUAUUGACGCUGAUGCACGAAAGCGUGGGGAUCAAACAGG
rnacentral:rRNA from 1 species